rnacentral:rRNA from 1 species
UACGUAGGGUGCGAGCGUUAAUCGGAAUUACUGGGCGUAAAGCGUGCGCAGGCGGUCGUUGUGUCGGUGGUGAAAGCCCCGGGCUUAACCUGGGAAUGGCCAUGGAAACUGGCGAACUGGAGUGUGGCAGAGGGGGGUGGAAUUCCGCGUGUAGCAGUGAAAUGCGUAGAGAUGCGGAGGAACACCGAUGGCGAAGGCAGCCCCCUGGGACAACACUGACGCCUGAGGCACGAAAGCGUGGGGAGCAAACAGG